GUGCCGCGCCCCUCAGCGUCUCCACCACGGGACGCGGCUCCUCUGGUGUCGGUCUUACGG
rnacentral:ribozyme from 1 species